rnacentral:tRNA from 1 species
UGCAACAUAGAAGAGUGGUAAGGUAGAGGACUGCAAAUCCUUUUUUCCCCAGUUCAAAUCUUGGUGUUGCCU